rnacentral:ncRNA from 1 species
UCGAUCCUAAGAUAUGGGGAAUCCUUGUAUCAAGGGUUCACUCUACAUGAAAAUUGAAAGAGAAUUGGGUUAAUAUUCUCGAAUUGGGACAUGGUGGUGGACGACAAUGUUAGGAAAUUUGGAGAUGUCAUCGGGGGCCUGUGAAGAGUUAUCUUUUCUUUUUAACGACUUUCCCACCCUGAAAUCGGUUCAACCAGAGAUAGGGUCCAACAUCUGAAAGAGCACCACAUGUCUUGUGGUGUUUGGUUCCCCCUCGAUGGCCAUUGUAAAUAUGGUGAACCGAGUACCAUCCAUGCCUGACCGUACUCAUAUCUGCCUCCUUAG